rnacentral:rRNA from 1 species
AUACAGAGGGUGCGAGCAUUAAUCGGAAUUACUGGGCGUAAAGCGCGCGUAGGCGGCUUAUUAAGUCAGAUGUGAAAUCCCCGGGCUCAACCUGGGAACUGCAUCUGAUACUGGUAAGCUAGAGUUUUGGAGAGGGAAGUAGAAUUUCAGGUGUAGCGGUGAAAUGCAUAGAGAGCUGAAGGAAUACCAGUGGCGAAGGCGACUUCCUGGCCAAAAACUGACGCUGAGGUGCGAAAGCGUGGGUAGCAAACGGGAUUAGAAACCCUAGUAGUCC